rnacentral:rRNA from 1 species
GAUGAACGCUGGCGGCGUGCCUAAUACAUGCAAGUCGAGCGAAUGGAUUAAGAGCUUGCUCUUAUGAAGUUAGCGGCGGACGGGUGAGUAACACGUGGGUAACCUGCCAUAAGACUGGGAUAACUCAGGGAAACCGGGGCUAAUACCGGAUAACAUUUUGAACCGCAUGGUUCGAAAUUGAAAGGCGGCUUCGGCUGUAACUUAUGGAUGGACCCGCGUCGCAUUAGCUAGUUGGUGAGGUAACGGCUCACCAAGGCAACGAUGCGUAGCCGACCUGCGAGGGUGAUCGGCCACACUGGGACUGAGACACGGCCCAGACUCCUACGGGAGGCAGCAGUAGGGAAUCUUCCGCAAUGGACGAAAGUCUGACGGAGCAACGCCGCGUGAGUGAUGAAGGCUUUCGGGUCGUAAAACUCUGUUGUUAGGGAAGAACAAGUGCUAGUUGAAUAAGCUGGCACCUUGACGGUACCUAACCAGAAAGCCACGGCUAACUACGUGCCAGCAGCCGCCGCGG